rnacentral:tRNA from 2 species
GACGAGGUGGCCGAGUGGUUAAGGCGAUGGACUGCUAAUCCAUUGUGCAUUGAGUGCGUGAGUUCGAAUCCCACCCUCGUCG